CUCCAUGUUAUUUGUAGUUUACAGUGCUUAGAGACAAGAAGAAGAAGAAAUCCCUAAACCCAGCUACCAGAUUAUGCUGCAAUUAAUGGGAAUCUGUACAUCAUUCUGAUUGUUGCUGAGAUUUUUGAAGACUUUCUUUUAAAAAAUAAAACAAAAACCCCAAAACCUUUGCCCUUGACUGACACCAGCCUUACAAUGGUAGGAUUGGCAUUCCGCCAAUUUCUCACCCGAUAAGACAGGGCAGGAGGGUAGAGAAAAGCACUGACAACAUGGCCGUUGUUUAGUCUACACUCUUAAGACCUUAAUAGGAAGGAACAAUUCUUCAGUGUCGCGAAGGGUUUGCCAGUAUGCAUCUGCUGCAGUGGGAAAACUAAGUGGGACGCCUGGCACUAUUCAAAUCAGAGUGAGCAUGGUGGAAAGGACCUUCAGAAAACUUCAGAGCAGACAUUCUCCUAUUGUUGUUGCUGGGAGCUGGCAGCCAGGGGUAGUUGUGGCAGGGAAAGCAUGUGGAUGAGAAGCUGGAACCGGUUGCUAGGUAAGGACCGCCUUCCCUUCUUCCAGGCCUGCAUGCACUUGCACAAUCAAGAAAUGCCAUGGAGCUCACUCAGUGUCUUCCAUCUGCUUUUACAGGAGACUGCAGAACUGCAAGGUGAACACAUUGGCAUCCUCUCUCCAUAUCUGGUCCCUGAGGCUUGUUUCCCACCAUUCACAGGUAUGUCUGUCUCAGAUUGCACCCAAAAAGAUGCAGUAGUUAUUUGGCAAGAUGAAAUCAAGGCACACAAAGAAAAGGCUCCUGAGAAUCCAUUGAGAGGCUUUCAGGCCCUCAGAAGUUGUACCAACCAGAAUCCACUGUCAACUACCUUGGGCAUGUGCCUGCUCUGA
rnacentral:lncRNA from 1 species